rnacentral:lncRNA from 1 species
UUUGGAGACUGUAUGUGUAUCUGCCACAGUGGCACCCUCAUUGCUUCCUGUGAGUCAGUCUUUGUGUGGUCAUAGAUAAACUGGAUCCAAGAGAUAAAUGUUUUUUUUUUUCCCCUCAUUCCUGCCCCUGCCCUUGCUUGGUGGACAAGCUCGAGGUGGAUCAGCCCCAUGAUCCCCAGGCUUGCCUACAGGGAAGCAGCCAGAGCUGGCUGGUGGGGGAGGAAGGAAAGGAGCAGUGAAAGGACUCCUUGAAGGCAGCAACCCCCACCAACUUGGCUUUGGAUGUAACAUGAAACCUCACUCUCAAUAUCAGAACAACUGGCAUGAUCAGUCUGGGCAUCCUGGAAAACAGAGAAGGAGCAGCAAUAUAAAUCAAGAGGGGCUGCAGGAGAAUACUGGAAACAGAGGAUGGGAUCCUCCACUCGUACCAUGCAUUUUGAGGCUGGUCGGUGGAGCAGUAUUCUGAUUACAAGAAUGAAACACUGAAGAAGCUGAAAGAAGCUUAAGAAAUAUUUCCUAGUUUCUCAGGAAAUCCCUGUGGCCUGUUGUUACGAACUUCUCUGUUUCCAACACUACACAGCAUUGGCCGGACCAGCACAGGGUAAAACAAGCUGUGGCAAGUUGACUACCUAUUUGUUCAGACACCACAGUAGGGAAAUAUAUUAUGCAAGAAAAAUAAAAGUAAUGGUUAUUUGUAAUGAAAUGCCA